rnacentral:rRNA from 1 species
ACCAUAUACAGCCGAGAGGCGAAAGAUUUAUCGCUGUGAGAUGAGCCUAUGCGGGAUUAGCUAGUUGGUGAGGUAAACGCUUACCAAGGCUACGAUCCCUAGUUGGUCUGAGAGGAUGAACAGCCACACUGGAACUGAGACACGGUCCAGACUUCUACGGAAGGCAGCAGUGGGGAAUUUUGGACAAUGGGCGAAAGCCUGAUCCAGCGACGCCGCGUGGGUGAUG